rnacentral:rRNA from 1 species
AUACAAGGUGCUGCAUGGUUGUCGUCAGCUCGUGCCGUGAGGUGUCGGGUUAAGUCCCAUAACGAGCGCAACCCCUAUCAUUAGUUGCCAUCAGGUCAAGCUGGGGACUCUAAUGAAACUGCCUACGCAAGUAGUGAGGAAGGUGGGGAUGACGUCAAAUCAGCACGGCCCUUACGUCCAGGGCUACACACGUGCUACAAUGGCCGGUACAAAGGGCAGCUACCUGGUGACAGGAUGCUAAUCUCAAAAGCCGGUCUCAGUUCGGAUCGGAGUCUGCAACCCGACUCCGUGAAGCUGGAAUCGCUAGUAAUCGACGCAAUCAGCCAUGGCGCGGUGAAUACGUUCCCGGGCCUU